UACGGAGGGGGCUAGCGUUAUCCGGAAUCAUUGGGUUUAAAGGGUCCGUAGGCGGUUUUGUAAGUCAGUGGUGAAAGCCCAUCGCUCAACGGUGGAACGGCCAUUGAUACUGCAAGACUUGAAUUACUAGGAAGUAACUAGAAUAUGUAGUGUAGCGGUGAAAUGCUUAGAUAUUACAUGGAAUACCAAUUGCGAAGGCAGGUUACUACUAGUGGAUUGACGCUGAUGGACGAAAGCGUGGGGAGCGAACAGG
rnacentral:rRNA from 1 species